GACAGAGGGUGCAAACGUUUGUUCGGAAUUACUGGGCGUAAAGCGAGUGUAGGCGGUCUCAUAAGUCGGGUGUGAAAGCCCUGGGCUCAACCCAGGAAGUGCACUCGAAACUGCGAGGCUAGAGUAUCGGAGAGGUUGGUGGAAUUCUCGGUGUAGAGGUGAAAUUCGUAGAUAUCGAGAGGAACACCGGUGGCGAAGGCGGCCAACUGGACGAAUACUGACGCUGAGACUCGAAAGCGUGGGGAGCAAACAGG
rnacentral:rRNA from 1 species